UGGUGACUAAGCACUCAGAUAUACGAGGCUCUGGGAAUCAUUCUUAUCCAAAGCACCACAAUGAUCUUUGGUCAUUGUGGAGUCUCCCAGCUACAAUAAGCAGGUUUCCAUACUAUCUGGAGUCACAAAUCCGGAAUAUACACUCUAUAGAACAAUGAGGUGACCUCGCACCUGACCAGCAGCUGUGAACUGCAGCCCCCAGAGCCUUCAGAAGAAUAUGACUUCCAUAUCACCUCUCCCUCCAAAGAGCAAGCAGAAGAUUUCUUGCGGCUUCUUCUGACCUAGAACUAUUCAUUCUAGAUCCUGUUCAGUUGACUAUCAUGGAAUGCUCGCAGCAAUACAAAGAGGCAUUGUUCAUCCCUUUCCUAAAGCAUUAAUCAAGAUUACUUGGGUCUGAUCACACUGUUGGCGGGAGUCCUCGGAACCUGUUCUGCGGUUGGGAGCCUUGCUAUUAAGCAAAUUGUGUUUUGUGCUCUCUUGUUUGUUUUUCACUUCUCUCAAACUUUACUAAUUUUAAUUGAUCUAAAGAAUUCCCCCUUUUUGUUAUUUCUUAAGAAUAGACAAAGUUUUAUUUUUCUCAAAAUACUUUAUUCUGCCCAAUUGACAGUGUGUGUCCUGCGUAGAACUCAUAAGUUACAAACUGUUCUGUGGGACAGGGAGGUGGCCCACUGAGUAGAAGCACUUUCAGUUUUGAUCCUUGAAAUCAACAUAAAGCAUACAUCUAUAAUCCAGCACAGCUCCUGUGAGUUGGGAGGCUAAGACAGGAGAACACUGAGAAGUCUGGUGUCUAGCUAGCCUGGAAUACACAUGGCGGCAGAACUGAGAGUUUCAUCCUCAAAGCAAGGAACAAGGAAAGAAGCAACUCCUGAAAGUUAUCCUUCAACAUCACCCCCCGCCCCCCGCCACUCACACACACAGGU